rnacentral:lncRNA from 1 species
AGAAAUUGUGGUGCAAGGAGGGAAGAGUUUUGGCUAAAGGAACUGCAAGGGAUUCAAGUUCUGAGGUUUGGGGACACAGAGAGUGUGUUAUUCAGGUAAUAAUUCGGAUCAUUUCUGUUAUAUUGAUGUGUGCAUGGAUCUAGGGUUUAUGGAACCCAUUUGGUGAUUAGAUGGAUUAUUACUUUGUUAAUCAAACGGAUAUAACCCUGUAUUAGGACCUUUAGAGGUCCAGAAGGUCCCAUGCUUGUGUAUUUCGGAACCAUAAUUGUCCCAGGAUGCAGUUUGAGCGGCUGCAUGGCAUGGACUCGCCGAGUCCGAUGAACAGACUCGGCGAGUAGCUUGAAGAUUAACUGGGACUCGUCGAGUUGUUCUUCAGACUCGGCGAGUUGAGUCGGGGUGGCCCCACGAUUCUUCCAGGAGGAACUCGUCGAGUAAAAAGGGGAUACUCGACGUGUAGAAAGGGAAUCUUAAGGAAUCGGUGAGUCAAGGGCGAGUGGACUCAGAGUCGUUGAACUCGGCGAGUCUUGGGGUGACUCGGCGAGUUAGGUCGCGGGUUAAGUGAAGUUCUGAGUAUGGGGACUCGGCGAGUCAUAGGGUUGACUCGGCGAGUAGGGUCAGUCAGGGGUUGACUUUGACCUUGUCUUUGACCAAGGAUUGACCAGUGGUUCCAGGGGUAUUUUGGUAAUUGUUGUUUAUUGUUUGAGUUCAGUGCAUUGGUGACUGUCCAGAGGUGGAGAUCGUAUCAGUGAUCGGAGCAGCUUGAGCUAUCUGUUCAGUCGGCAGUUUCGAGGUGAGUUAUCCUCACUAUAUCGCUAGGGUUUAUGGUGCAAAGGCCGACCCUUUUAUCGGAUGGAAAUCCGGGUAGUUGUCAUUAUAUGUUACAGGCCGGAAGGCAUUACUAUGUGGACCGGAAGGUCAUGGCCUGGAAAGGCGUAUGUAUGCAUUUAGUAUGUUGACUGGUUCAUAGGGUAAUGUUAUGAUAGUGACCGGCUAGACCGGUAUCCUGUUAGAGUAAUGCUAUGAUAUGUGAUCUGUUGAUCGAUUGUUGUCUAUGAACUGCUAUAUGAUUGCUUGAUAUGUUAUAUGUGCAUUCUAUGCUUAUGGGCCGGAAGGCAAUAUGUUAUGGGCCGGAAGGCAAUAUGUUAUGGGCCGGAAGGCGAUUAUGUUGUGUGAUGGACCGGAAGGUCGGCGUGGGUAGGACCGGAAGGUUUACCCAGCAGGGACGGAAGUCCCCUGAGACACAUGGACCGGAAGGUCAGGGCCUGGAAAGGCGUAUAUGUGGUUGGUAUUCUGGGGGUAUCUCACUAAGCUUUCGGGCUUACAGUCGUGGUUUUAUGUUUCAGGUUCUCAGGAGUCUGUGGCAAGGCAAAGGCGUGAUCGUACCGUUCCUCGCGUUGAUGUUUUAUGAUAUGAACCUGGGAAAUUACUCUGUUAAAUAAUGUAUUGAAAACCUUUUUGUAACAAUGUUAAUAAAAUGGAUGAUUUUGAAAAGUUUUAAUUAUUUUGAAAUUUUGGAUGUUACACAAUGUUUAUCUAACAGGUACUAAGUCCCUAGCUACCAGCGUUUAUUCAAUUGGCACUAAGUCCAUAGCUGCCAAUGUUAUUUAUUAGGCAUUAAGUCUAUAGCUGCCUGUGUUCACUCAUAUCAUCCUUCAUCUCUCAUCUUUAAUCUACCCAUGUUUUACCUAACAUAUUCGUAGAUAUAAAAUACAUAUACAGUUUAAAUCAUUUAAAACUUGUAUAAAAUCAUUCAUCCAACAUAGAUAGCAAGUAUACAGAUAAUAUGCACACAUAGCACGUAGUUUAUAUAAAAUACUUCAUAUCUAUGCGUAAGAUGAA